GCCUUCUCGCCGCCGUCUGCUACCUGUACCCCUUCCUUGACGGCGUCCACUACGGGCGCUUCGUGGUGGCCCAGUUCCCGGCGUUCCAGGUCCUCCUCCAGCCCCUUGUCCCGGCCAUUCGCCUCUUCCGCUCCUCCCCCUUCACCCCCUUCCUACUCUUCCUCACCCUCUAUUUCGCCGUCGUCCGCAACCCCUCCAGGUUUAGCCGUUACGUCCGCUUCAACACCAUGCAGGCCAUCGUCCUCGAUGUCCUCCUCAUCUUCCCCGACCUCCUCGAGCGAUCUUUCAACCCGAGUGAGGGCAUCGGGUUGGACCUCCUC
rnacentral:lncRNA from 1 species